GGUGUGGUGGCCAAGUGGUAAGGCGUCGGUCUAGUAAACCGAAGAUUGUGGGUUCAAUUCCCAUCCGUACCU